AACGAACGCUGGCGGCAUGCCUAACACAUGCAAGUCGAACGGGAUCCUAGCUUGCUAGGUGAGAGUGGCGGACGGGUGAGUAACACGUGGGAAUCUGCCUUUUGGUUCGGGAUAACCGCGGGAAACUGCGGCUAAUACCGAAUGCCCUCGUGAGAGGAAAGAUUUAUCGCCAGAAGAGGAGCCCGCGUCCGAUUAGGUAGUUGGUGGGGUAAAGGCCUACCAAGCCGACGAUCGGUAGCUGGUCUGAGAGGAUGAUCAGCCACACUGGGACUGAGACACGGUCCAGACUCCUACGGGAGGCAGCAGUGGGGAAUAUUGGGCAAUGGAGGAAACUCUGACCCAGCCAUGCCGCGUGAAUGAUGAAGGCCUUAGGGUUGUAAAGUUCUUUCGCCGAUGAAGAUAAUGACGGUAGUCGGAGAAGAAGCCCCGGCUAACUUCGUGCCAGCAGCCGCGGUAAU
rnacentral:rRNA from 1 species